rnacentral:rRNA from 1 species
GGGGGGAGCAAGCGUUGUUCGGAUUUACUGGGCGUAAAGGGCGCGUAGGCGGCCACCGCAAGUCAGUUGUGAAAGCUCUGGGCUUAACCCAGAAAGGUCAACUGAUACUGCGGGGCUAGAGUGCAGAAGGGGCAACUGGAAUUCUCGGUGUAGCGGUGAAAUGCGUAGAUAUCGAGAGGAACACCUGCGGCGAAGGCGGGUUGCUGGGCUGACACUGACGCUGAUGCGCGAAAGCUAGGGGAGCGAACGGGAUUAGAUACCCCGGUAGUCCUAGCCUUAAACGAUGAAUGCUUGGUGUCUGGGGUUUUAUAGUCCCCGGGUGCCGUCGCUAACGCUUUAAGCAUUCCGCCUGGGGAGUACGGUCGCAAGACUGAA